UUUUGUUCUCUGGUCUCAGAAAUUGAAUAGUUUUUUUUUUAAGUGGUUUCGUGCUAUCUUGAACUCCAAGUGGAAAGCCCAGGGAGCAGAAAAUGGACAAUCACAAUUAUUAUUGUAGGUGGAUCGGAUUUGAAGUAUUUUUUAGGGUGGGUAAAAAGGUUGAGCGGAGUUGGGAAAAUUCCUAAGUGGUUAAAGAAGAGUAGAAGAGACGUUCUGUUUAUUCCUCCAGAAAAGAUUAAGAAAGUUGGUGGUUACAAAUCAACUGACUCAACUUUAUAUCAACAUCGGAGCAUGCCUUACAAGUUUACGCAGCUAUGCAAAGGGUUACGUAGUGGAACUUGGAUUUCAAAGAUCACAGUGAACAGGGUGAUAGGUAGUUUGGAGACGUUUGAAAUCAUAAGAAGACUCGAAGAUUUCAGCCAGGUUUGAAUCAAAUCACCAAAUGAAUUCUUCUUCCAGGUUAUGAUUAAAUGUUCCCAACUUUUUUAGUUGUAUAAAGACUUGGGUAGAUAGGAAUUUGAUUUUAGUCAUGUGUUUCACUAAUUCUUUGGUAAUAGAUAAAUCUUUAUGAACAGUCUCCUGCUUCUAUCAAUACCCAUGGUAAGUUCUUAUAAUUUACUUUUAACAGUAAGGUCAUUUGUGACCAAAUAUUCUUUUUCAACUUAUGCUUCAUUUACUCUUCUUUUGCAGCCUAUUUUUUCACACAUUUAGUCUUCAGUAGAUGGGCUAAGCAAUUUCCAUGUGGCAUUGUAUCAAAUUAUCAUUGAUCGUAGGUUUUCGUGGUGAGAUGGAAUAAAUUGGUGAAACGUAGAGUGGUUUAUUUGCAGAAAGGUUUGACCUUUGAAUUGGAGCUAUAGUGGUCGUUCCUAUUGCUACAUUGGCAGCUUUUGGCUCAGAAAUGUUCACAGUUGUCUUCAUCUAAAACGAGUCAAUCAACUGUAUACCAUCUCACCGUCAAUCAUUGAGAACUUCAGCAUGUACUACAAAUCUCGAUCAAAGCUAGAUUAACCUCUCAUAUGGUUUUUGCCAAUUGUCAUUUUUGAAGGCUAUGACAGUUUAUGCCAUCAUCCAGUGUUACUAUUUGGAGAAGAUUGCUGAUCAAAAUAAUAGAAGCAUGUACAUCAUCACAAAUAAAAUAAAAAAAUUGGGAAGCGACGGUCAAUAUAACUUUCAGGUACAAAUUAUUAUGUGUAUAAAUACAAUUGUAAAUAAUACACCUAAUAUGAAUGCACAUAUAUUUUAUACAUUUUUUAAACACGCGGCAACGCGCGGGCACUAUUACUAGUAUAU